CUUGACGGACCCCAGCCACAGCGGCCGGUCCGCCGGGCGCGCGCCGUCGUGGACGGCGAGCAGCGCCUGGGCCUC
rnacentral:antisense_RNA from 1 species